CGGAGAUGCUGGAGCCUAUCCCAACAGUCAUUGGGCGGGCAGGCGGGGAGACACCCUGGACAGGCCGCCAGGCCAUCACACAGGGCAUCACAGGCCCCCAAGAUAUUUGACUGUAAUGUGAAGGUUGGAAGUUUUUAGGAAUGAGCAAAGAAAGGACGAGGAGGUACCGGAAAACGUUAAACCAGGAUGAAGCCAGGUGUGAGGAGAUCCUUAGGGAAAGAAGAAGAAAAUAUCAUGCAAAGAAGGUAAAG